rnacentral:lncRNA from 1 species
GGGCCGAAACAGGGGAAGACCGUGAGGUCCCCCUCGAUGGCCCGGGCUUCGACGAGGUGGUAGCUUGGUCGGAGGUCCGGCAAUGGCGACCGACCAUGCAAAGCUGGCCGGUGAUGUUUCUCCUCUUUUUUUUAUUUCUCGAAAAAUAGGGGACCCACCCCCUUUCUUUUUUUUUUCUCUAAUUUUUCGAUCAUGGCUAGUCACCG